UUAAGCAAGACUCCCCGAAACCAAGCGAGCUACCCCAGGGCAGCUUACAAACGAACCCUCCUCUGUAGCAAAAGAGCGGGAUGACCCUUGAGUAGAGGCAACAAACCUAACGAGCCUGGAUAUAGCUGGUUACUCGAGAGAGAAUUUAAGUUCAAAUAAAAGGAACUAUAUCAACAAGAAAAAAAUCACCUUUUACUUUAAUCAAUUGAGUUACAGCUCAAUUAAUAAGGAAAACAACCCAAAUAAAUGAAUAAUGAUCAUAACUUAUAAGAAAAUAUAGCAAAGUAGGCCUAAAAGCAGCCACCAAAAUAGCGUCAAAGCUUAACUUAAUUUACAUCAACUAUUCCAACAAAUAAUCUUAAUUCAACAAAACAAUCGAGUUAAUCUAUUUAUAGAUAAACUACUGCUAUAAUGAGUAAUAAGGAUACAUCCUCUAUAAUAUAAGCGUAAAUCAGAACAAACCUAUCACUGAUAAUUAAUGAAUAUAUUUACCAAAACAAGACCUUAAUAGCAAAAAUCAUUAACCCAACACAGGAGUAUUAAAGAAAGACUUAAAGCCUAGAAAGGAACUCGGCAAACCCAGGCUU
rnacentral:rRNA from 1 species